rnacentral:rRNA from 1 species
UCAGGCCUAACACAUGCAAGUCGAACGAGAUUAUAGGGUAAGCUUGCUUACCUUAUAUGACAGUGGCGCACGGGUGCGUAACGCGUAUGCAAUCUAUCUUAAUCAGGGGGAUAGCCUCUCGAAAGAGAGAUUAAUACCGCAUAACAUUAUGAUAUGGCAUCAUAUUAUAAUCAAACAUUUAUGGGAUUAAGAUGAGCAUGCGUGACAUUAGCUAGUUGGUGAGGUAACGGCUCACCAAGGCAACGAUGUCUAGGGGAUCUGAGAGGAUGACCCCCCACACUGGUACUGAGACACGGACCAGACUCCUACGGGAGGCAGCAGUAAGGAAUAUUGGUCAAUGGACGCAAGUCUGAACCAGCCAUGCCGCGUGCAGGAAGACGGCCCUAUGGGUUGUAAAGUGCUUUUAUACGGGAAUAAACCUUCUUUCGUGAAAGAAGCUGAA